ensembl:lncRNA
UGUAAGUAGAAGAGAUAAUUUAUUAAAGAUAAUACAGAAUAAUUAGCAACAGAAAACCUAACAAAUCAAAAAUGGGAGAAGAAAGAACAAGUCUGAGUCCUUAGCGGCAGGCACUGACGUCUGGCUUCGACAAAGAGCAGAAAGCUCUCUUCCAUCACCUAGAAUCAGAAAUCACAUAGGAAAUAGUAGACAGUUGAGGAAACAGCACAGUAAAGAGAUAGAGAAUACCUGCCUCUCAGAGAGCUGGAACUCACAUGAGAAUAGCUAAGACUGCUAGAAGCUCAACAACUAAGAUAGGCAGCUCCUGGACACUGUGCACCAGCAUUAACCAGCUGGCCCCCAGUGUCAUUACAUGAAAUACUGAAAAAAGCAGGACAGGUGAAAAAAGGCUACAGACAAGGGGAGUAAAGUGAAGCAGCUGGUGAUGGCACACCUUACCAAUUAUUCUAGAGCCCUCUUGCCCUGACUGAUUGAGUUCAUGUAUUUCAGAAUUCCUGACAGCUGGGCUCUCAAAAAGCAGAACUGAAGAAGGAACCAGGACAGAGGGACUCAUUUUGCCAUUGACAGGGACAACAGAAAAGACACAGACAUCAACUAAAGGGAUAAACUUUACUGUCUAUAUCAAAAUGAUGCAAAAAAAAAAAAAUAGAGCUAACAUAGUUGUUAAGAGUUAAGGUAAUCUAGUUAGGUUGUGGUUGGACUUGAUGAUCUUGAAGGGUCUUUUCAAACCUGAGCAGUACUGUAACUUUGAGUUUAGCUACCAAUCACUCCUCUACUACUUUGACCACCAUCCAGAUCCGCAGCUGCUGGGGAGCCCUGGUUGCAGCGAGGAUCUGGAGAACCCGUCCCGGCAACUGGGAAGGCCUACGGCAGUGCGUCCACCCCGCAGUCGAGGUCUCCAUAGUCGCUGCAAGCAGGUCCAGCUUUUGUGUCACUAAACAAACCAAUCUAUGAAACAGUCAGGCGGAACAUCUGGUUUCCUCUGUCUCCUGUUGGUUUUCUCCCAAAACCUGGCCAGGGUUCAAGGAGGAACCAAGGGAGAAGUGCUAUCUGUUUUGGUCCACUACUGGCCUCUUUGGUCCCUUGCAGCACGCUUAGACUGGUAAAACACAUUAUAGUAAAAAUUCUAUCAUGAUAAAGAAAGAUAUUGUACUACCAUUACUGUAGCACAAUCAACAUUAUAACAUAGCUCAGCAGGUAAUCACUUAAAUAAAUGUAUUCCUCCUCAUAUAGCAAAAUAUCAGUUAACUACAUCUCAUAGGUACCAUUAAUACUAGAAACAUAGGAUAUACUGCAAGAUUGUGAUCUACAACCAUAGUCCCUGAAUCAACGUUGACCUAUAUCAGGCCUCAGCAUUUCAACCCCAAAGCCCUAAGAGCCAGUUUCACAGGAGGCUUUACAAACUAGUUCCCAGGGCAGACUAAAAUGUCACCCCAUAGGCACAGCGGACCACUGGUGGUAAUUUGUACACCUACCACCAAAGACAGUAGAUUUGACUACACCCAGGUCACUACGCAAGAUGGUUACCAAUUGCCACAUCACAAGUGAACUUGCCUGAUCACAAGCAAUGGACUAAGGUGGAAACCUGUUAGCGUGCGAUCACGAGUAAUCCCCACAACCAAGAAAACCAGCGUACGCUCAUUUGCUAAGUAACUUCAGUACUCUACAAAGAAGAAAAUCAAGCCCCACUAGAACAGUAAAGACAUGAACAAACAAAAACAAAAAACAACCGAUGGGAAAGUCGCAGUUAACUGAAGUCAGCAGAAAAGAAUUAAGAACAAAAUAUGCGGUUAGAAAGGGUUUCCAGGAGCAGGUAAAGAGAAAAACCUGGCUAGUUAUGCUCUCCAACGACCUGAAAAAGAAGAAAAAAGACAAAACUCAACAAAAUGGUCGCUUGUACAAAUCCAGAGGAGACCACCGA